AGCAUCGCACUGGCUGCGUCGUCGGGUGCUUGAGGAAGCUGCACAAGUGGUGCCUGUCUUCGGUGUUCGACAAGUCGAGCUAUGUGAAGAACACGAAUUCAUUGUUUUGGCAUGCGAUGGCAUCUGGGACUGCAUGUCAAGCCAGCAGUUGGUCGAUUUCAUCCGCGAGCAUAUAGACACAAUGAUUCCAACACCAGCAGCAAUGGUAACUUUGACGGAGAUGACUUGGAACAAAAACACAUGCUUCCGACGUCUUCUGUUGGUGAAGACACAAUCUUUACUACUUGAGCUAUGUAAUUAGGCCGGCUAAGUCGUCGAGCCCGAUUGCACCACCUACCACAAGGAUUGGCUAAGAAAGUCUGGUGUUCACUGGAGCUACUUUGUAGAGGCUGCUCCUUUUUGUGCAGUAAUACACAGUAACCUGAGAGAGAGAUAAAGAAGCAGAUCUUGUGCUCUAUGCAGUUGACAAACAAAUAACCACAUCGACUUCAGAGGGAUUUGAAGAAGGUUCAUCACCCCGAAUUGUCUUAUGGAAGUAACUUGAAUUAUCAACUGGUAUGGCCUGUAAAUAAACUAUAUUGUCAUGUUAGUUAGAGGGAAGUGGGUCUACAUACUGCUUAGCUAGAUUAAUUGUGAUAGUAAGGUGUAUUUUGCUGCUUUGUCAACAAUUUCAAUUUAGACACUUGUUUUUUGGGAUGA